rnacentral:rRNA from 1 species
UACGGAGGAUCCAAGCGUUAUCCGGAUUUAUUGGGUUUAAAGGGUGCGUAGGCGGACCCUUAAGUCAGUGGUGAAAGUUUUGCAGCUCAACUGUAAAAAUUGCCAUUGAAACUGAGGGUCUUGAGUGUAAAUGAGGUAGGCGGAAUGUGUUGUGUAGCGGUGAAAUGCUUAGAUAUAACACAGAACACCGAUAGCGAAGGCAGCUCACAAAGUUACAACUGACGCUGAUGCACGAAAAGCGUGGGGAUCAAACAGG